rnacentral:lncRNA from 1 species
GUUAACAUUUGUCCAAGGUAUAUAUUAUUGGUAGUAUUGUAAUUCUCCUAGAUUUGCUUUUAAAAAUGUUGAGGUAAUGAGUUAAAAGAAAUCAAUUGAUUUAGUAAACGACUAAAGUCAAAACGAUAUAUGUAACUGAUAAAAAAUAAGAAGAUAUUUUAUUCAACGAAAACGUCGACAAUAACUAACAAUAAGUUCAACGACGUAUGAUUAAGCAGACAGAGACAGUUUGUCCAAUAAAUUUAAAUAAGUUACAUAGCUGAUAUAUUACAAUUGCUAUUUGCUUUUAUCAAUGCACUUUGAUGUUCACCUUUUUUUUUGUUUUCAGUAUAUUAUGGAAAACGAAGAUGUAUAUGUGUCAUAGGGUUGCCAAUGUUUUCCCAAAGUAAAUACACAUUUCACAUGUUUCAUCUUAUAAGAAGAAAAAAAAGAAAAUACACAUUUUUAAAUAUAUUAAAUCAGUACAUAUGGCCAAAGACUGGAACACAACUAAAGGCUUCAGGAUAUUUGUCCAAAUCAAACAAUCAAACAGCAAAAGUUUCAUUAUCAGUUUCAUCUUGUUUCAUAUCUUAUAUAAAAGAGGGACGAAAGAUACCAAAGGGACAGUCAAACUCAUAAAUCUAAAUCAAACUGACAACGCCAUGGCUAAAAAUGAAAAAGACAAACAGAAAAACAAUAGUACACAUGACACAACAUAGAAAACUAAAGAAUAAACAACACGAACCCCACCAAAAACUAGGGGGGAUAUCAGGUGCUCCGGAAGGGUAAGCAGAUCCUGCUCCACAUGUGGCACCCGUCGUGUUGCUUAUGUGAUUACAAAUCCGGUAAAUAGUCUAAUUCGGUAGGUCACAUUCAUGAAAGGGAAGGGGAUUGUAGUUACGACGUAAGGAAGAGUCGUAAAAAUAAUUUGAAAGAAUAUUAUCAAUUUGUUAACGUAUUUAUGCACAGAAUUUACAGGAAGCAUUUCAUCCUACAUCAAAACCAAGACAAGCAUACAAUAAACAUGGAGUUCAAUGUGAUUUAACAAGAAACUUCCCAUUAAAAAUUGAGACUGCUUCCCGGGCAUACAAUUAUCUAAAAUCUAAUUAUUAGUUUGAACCCGUACUUUUGUAUAUAACAGACUGAAAAUGUUCAGUUUAUCCAUUGAUGAAUUGGUUGAGUUUUUUUCUUAUUAAGAUGUAAAACAUCUCUUCAUAGAAUUUUCAUACUCAUGUAAUUAAUAUGUUCAAUAAAUCUGUAGCGUUU